CCGCAGUACUGGACCCGAGCGCGACGGUGCGGCUGGCGGACCCGGGCUGGCUUGUGGGGAAACGAAACUGAGGGAGGAGGCGGCGGCUCUGGCAGCGGCGGCGACAGUGUCGGCCUGACCCCCCCUCCGCUCCCCGGCAGCUCGCUCUCUCCCCUCAGCUUAACGAUGAAGAGGAGAACUGACCCAGAAUGCACUGCCCCCAUCAAGAAACAGAAAAAAAGAGUUGCAGAGCUUGCCCUGAGCCUCAGCUCCACGUCCGAUGAUGAACCUCCCUCCUCUGUCAGUCAUGGAGCAAAAGGGUUAUUCACAGUUUCCAUAGAUGCUUUCUGAGGAAUGGUAAAAUGUCUGGGAGCUUGCCUCAAAUACCUCAAGCAUCUACUACAAGCCUUAGUGGGUCUGAUAGUGAGACCGAGGGGAAACAACACAGCUCUGACUCUUUUGACGAUGCAUUCAAAGC
rnacentral:lncRNA from 1 species